CAAACGACUCUCGGGAACGGAUAUCUCUGCUCACGCAUCGAUGAAGAACGUAGCAAAAUGCGAUACUUGGUGUGAAUUGCAGAAUCCCGUGAACCAUCGAGUUUUUGAACGCAAGUUGCGCCCGAAGCCUUUUGGCCGAGGGCACGUCUGCCUGGGCGUCACGC
rnacentral:rRNA from 1 species